GGCAGCAGUGGGGAAUCUUCCGCAAUGGACGCAAGUCUGACGGAGCAACGCCGCGUGAGUGAUGAAGGUUUUCGGAUCGUAAAACUCUGUUGUUAGGGAAGAACAAGUAUCGGAGUCACUGCCGGUACCUUGACGGUACCUGACGAGAAAGCCACGGCUAACUACGUGCCAGCAGCCGCGGUAAUACGUAGGUGGCGAGCGUUGUCCGGAUUUAUUGGGCGUAAAGCGCGCGCAGGCGGUCUUUUAAGUCUGAUGUGAAAUCUUACAGCUUAACUGUAAGCGGUCAUUGGAAACUGGGAGACUUGAGUGCAGAAGAGGAGAGUGGAAUUCCAUGUGUAGCGGUGAAAUGCGUAGAGAUAUGGAGGAACACCAGUGGCGAAGGCGACUCUCUGGUCUGCAACUGACGCUGAGGCGCGAAAGCGUGGGGAUCAAACAGGAUUAGAUACCCUGGUAGUCCACGCCGUAAACGAUGAGUGCUAAGUGU
rnacentral:rRNA from 1 species